rnacentral:lncRNA from 1 species
AUGGGUGACACUGUUGUGGGUGUUUACUACAGGCCAUGUGAUCAGGAGGAGGAAGUCGAUGAGGCCUUCUACAGACAGCUGGAAGUAGCCUCACGAUGCCAGGCCCUGGUUCUCAUGGGGGACUUCAACCACCCUGAUAUCUGCUGGAAAGACAGCACAGCUAGGCACAAACAGUCCCGGAGGUUCCUGCAGAGCAUUGGUGACAACUUCUUGACACAGGUGGUGGAGGAGCCAACAAGGAGAGGUGUGCUGCUGGACCUCGUACUAACAAACAAAGAAGGACUGGUGGAAGAUGUGAAGGUUGGGGGCAGCCUUGGCUGCAGUGACCAUGAGAUGGUGGAGUUCAGGAUCCUGCGAGGAGGAGGCAGGGCACUGAGUAGGAUCGCAACCCUGGAGUUCAGGAGAGCAAACUCUGGCCUCUUCAGGGACCUACUUGGAGGAAUCUCAUGGGUUAGGGCCCUAGAAGGAAGGGGGGUCCAAGAGAGCUGGUUAAUAUUCAAACAUCACUUCCUCCAGGCUCAGGAGCGGUGCAUCCCUAUGAGUAGGAAGUCAAGCAAAGGAGGUAGGAGACCUGCAUGGAUGAGCAAGGAGCUCCUGGCAAAACUCAACCAGAAGAAGGAAGUAUACAGAAGGUGGAAAGGGGGACAGGCCACUUGGGAGGAAUAUAGGAACGUUGUCAGAGUAUGCAGGGAUGCGACGAGGAAGGCUAAGGCCCGUUUGGAAUUAAAUCUGGCAAGAGAUGUCAAGGACAACAAGAAGGGCUUCUUCAAAUACAUCAGUAGCAAGAGGAAGACUAGGGAAAAUGUGGGCCCAUUGCUGAAUGGGGCGAGUGCCCUGGUGACAAAGGAUGCAGAGAAGGCAGAGUUACUGAAUGCUGCCUUUGCUUCAGUCUUUCCUGCUCAGGCCAGCCCUCAGGAACCCCAGACCCUGGUGACAAGAGAGAAAGGCUGGAGGAAGGAAGACUUUCCCUUGGUGGAGGAGGAGUGGGUUAGAGAUCAUUUAAGCAAACUUGACACCCACAAAUCCAUGGGCCCUGAUGGGAUGCACCCACGAGUGCUGAGGGAGCUGGCGGAUGUCAUUGCUAAGCCACUCUCCAUCAUCUUUGAAAGGUCAUGGAGAACAGGAGAGGUGCCUGAGGACUGGAAGAAAACCAAUGUCACUUUGGUCUUCAAAAAGGGCAAGAAGGAGGACCCGGAAAACUACAGGCCAGUCAGCCUCACCUCCCUCCCUGGAAAGGUGAUGGAGCAGCUCAUCCUGGAGGCCAUCUCCAAGCAUGUGGAGGACAAGAAAGUGAUCAGGAGUAGUCAGCAUGGCUUCACCAAGGGGAAAUCAUGCCUAACCAAUGUGAUGGCCUUCUAUGAUGGAAUGACUGGAGAGCAGUGGAUGUUGUCUACCUUGACUUCAGCAAGGCUUUCGACACUGUCUCCCAUAACAUCCUCAUAG